AGAGGGACCAAAGGGAGGCUGCUCCCUGCCUGGAGGUGAGCUGAGCUCUAUGUCUGGUCCUGGAACACUGGGCCUGGGGCAGGGGCUAGAGCAGACUUUCAACGUUAGCUAGGUGGGUGAUGGAUACUAAAAGAGGGCACUUGCUGUGAUGAGCCCUGGGUGUUGUAGCUAGUGGUCUGCUCCAGGGAGCCGUAGAUCCCCGGGAGCUGCGUAAGUGGGGAAAGAAGGUUGAGACUUCCAGAUUUAUCCUAUAUCGUCAGAAGACUUGGGAGCCCAACCCCUUCAAGAAGAGCCUCAGGAUUCUGGAAUGCUCUCCUUGCCGGGGAAGGGGAUUUGGACCCAAGGAUCCACUUGCCAUGAACCCGCAGCCCCUCCUUUCCAUCCCCUGAGGAGUCCUGGUGCAGAGGGGAAGGGGCCGAACCUG